CCAUUCCGGUCUCCCAGAGACCGCGCCUUCAACCCGCCGCAGCGAUGCGGCCGGGGCGAAAGCAAACCCUUGCCUAUGAGUACCUUUUGUUCCCUCGGCGGGCUCGCGCCCGUCGCUGGGCCCAACCAAACCCUUUUGCAGUAGCAGUACACCUCUGAUCGUGGGCAAUCGAAUCUUAA
rnacentral:misc_RNA from 1 species